rnacentral:rRNA from 1 species
CAUGGCUCAGGACGAACGCUGGCGGCGUGCCUAAUACAUGCAAGUCGAGCGAAUCAUUAGGAGCUUGCUCCUGAUGGUUAGCGGCGGACGGGUGAGUAACACGUGGGCAACCUGCCUGUAAGACUGGGAUAACUUCGGGAAACCGGAGCUAAUACCGGAUAAUCCUUUCCCUCACAUGAGGGAAAGCUGAAAGACGGUUUCGGCUGUCACUUACAGAUGGGCCCGCGGCGCAUUAGCUAGUUGGUGAGGUAACGGCUCACCAAGGCGACGAUGCGUAGCCGACCUGAGAGGGUGAUCGGCCACACUGGGACUGAGACACGGCCCAGACUCCUACGGGAGGCAGCAGUAGGGAAUCUUCCGCAAUGGACGAAAGUCUGACGGAGCAACGCCGCGUGAACGAUGAAGGCCUUCGGGUCGUAAAGUUCUGUUGUUAGGGAAGAACAAGUACCGGAGUAACUGCCGGUACCUUGACGGUACCUAACCAGAAAGCCACGGCUAACUACGUGCCAGCAGCCGCGGUAAUACGUAGGUGGCAAGCGUUGUCCGGAAUUAUUGGGCGUAAAGCGCGCGCAGGCGGGUUCCUUAAGUCUGAUGUGAAAGCCCCCGGCUCAACCGGGGAGGGUCAUUGGAAACUGGGGAAACUUGAGUACUGAAGAGGGAAAGCGGAAUUUCCACGUGUAGCGGGUGAAAUGCGUAGAGAUGGUGGAGGAACACCAGUGGGCGAAGGCGGCUUUCUGGUCAGUAACUGAACGCUGAGGCGCCGAAAAGCGUGGGGGGAGCCAAAACAGGAAUUAGAAUACCCUGGG